CCACAUUAUAUAGAGAUAGCUUAGCUAAGGUCUUAGUAUUUAUCAGUUGUAAAGUUUGGUCAAAAUGGAGAAGAAAAAAUAUCCAUGAGCUCCCAAUAAUUUAUGCUAACUUGAUUCUACCUCAGCCUUCCUCUCAAAUCUUAUUGGAAUAGCAGGAAGAACAGACAGGUGAUAAACUCAAUGCUGACCACAACAUGUUUGUUAACCCAUUUAUUAGCACAACUCAUGGAACCUGCAGUGCUCCACAUGGCUGUCGCUCUUAGCAGCUUAUAGUCAUGGUGGCCACAGCUGAACCUGGAAGCCUCUGAAGAACUGAUCAGUUAGAUUGUAAAAUGUACUGAAACCUGAAAUAGCGGAGCUGAAAAAUAUACAAAUUAGAUAAAUCUGUAGAUAGUGAUAGAUCAGCACAAUCCUGUGUAAAUAUUGAUAAGGCCAAAAUUUACUACCUGCAUUGGUUCCUAGGAGAAUCAGUGUAUCCAAGCAACUUGCCGAUGAACUUGGUUUGCUUUCAACAUAUCAAUUAUGAAUGGCUAUUGCAAUGUGUGAAUAAAGAAAAGAAUUCAUGUAUUCAUAC
rnacentral:lncRNA from 1 species